CUCUUCUUGUCUUCUGGACCCCAGAGAGCACCUUGCCCACAGUUCCAACACAGACAACAAAUCAACUAUGCUGUUUGGAAUACAAACACAGGAGGAAAGAGGAAGCUGGCACCGCUGCCGACUGAAGCAGGCCACGAAUCGUACGGGCAACCUGAGGGGCGCUUCCAGACAGACAG